CAGCAGCCGCGGUAAUACCGGCGGCCCGAGUGGCGGUCACUAUUAUUGGGCUUAAAGCGUCCGUAGCCGGGUUGGGAAGUCCUCCGGGAAAUCUGGCCGCUUAACGGUCAGAAUGCCGGAGGAUACUCCCAGCCUAGGGAGCGGGAGAGGCCGAGGGUAUUCCCGGAGUAGGGGGGAAAUCCUAUAAUCCCGGGAGGACCACCUGUGGCGAAGGCGCUCGGCUGGAACGCGUCCGACGGUGAGGGACGAAGGCCAGGGGAGCAAACCGGAUUAGAUACCCGGGUAGUCCUGGCUGUAAACGAUGCGGACUUUGUGUCGGACAAGCUAUGAGCUUGUCCGGUGCCGGAGGGAAACCGUUAAGUCCGCCGCCUGGGGAGUACGGCCGCAAGGUUGAAACUUAAAGGAAUUGGCGGG
rnacentral:rRNA from 1 species